GACGAACGCUGGCGGCGUGCUUAACACAUGCAAGUCGAGCGGUAAGGCUCCUUCGGGAGUACACGAGCGGCGAACGGGUGAGUAACACGUGAGUAAUCUGCCCCUCACUUCGGGAUAAGCCUCGGAAACGAGGUCUAAUACCGGAUACGACCACUUCCUGCAUGGGAUGGUGGUGGAAAGUUUUUUUGGGGGGGGAUGUUCGCGCGGGCUAUGAGCUUGGUGGGGGGGUAAUGGCCUACCAAGGCUUCGGAGGGUAGCCGGCCCGGGAGGGUGGCCGGCCACACUGGGACUGAGGGACGGCCCAGACUCCUACGGGGGGCAGCAGUGGGGAAUAUUGGACAAUGGGCGAAAGCCUGAUCCAGCAACGCCGCGUGAGGGAUGACGGCCUUCGGGUUGUAAACCUCUUUCAGCGGGGACGAAGCGCAAGUGACGGUACCCGCAGAAGAAGCACCGGCCAACUACGUGCCAGCAGCCGCCGUAAAAC
rnacentral:rRNA from 1 species